GCCAAGAAAAGUUUCUAAGUUUAGCUAAUGUUGCCCGUACCGUAAACCGACACAGGUGGGUGGGAUGAGUAUUCUAAGGCGCGUGGAAGAACUCUCUUUAAGGAACUCUGCAAAAUAGCACCGUAUCUUCGGUAUAAGGUGUGGUUAGCUUCGUACUAGGAUUUACUCCGAAAGCGAAGAAACUUACAACAAAGAGUCCCUCCCGACUGUUUACCAAAAACACAGCACUCUGCUAACUCGUAAGAGGAUGUAUAGGGUGUGACGCCUGCCCGGUGCUCGAAGGUUAAUUGAUGGGGUUAGCAUUAGCGAAGCUCUUGAUCGAAGCCCGAGUAAACGGCGGCCGUAACUAUAACGGUCCUAAGGUAGCGAAAUUCCUUGUCGGUUAAAUACCGACCUGCAUGAAUGGCGUAACGAGAUGGGAGCUGUCUCAAAGAGGGAUCCAGUGAAAUUGUAGUGGAGGUGAAAAUUCCUCCUACCCGCGGCAAGACGGAAAGACCCCGUGGACCUUUACUACAGCUUGACACUGCUACUUGGAUAAGAAUGUGCAGGAUAGGUGGGAGGCUUUGAGUAUAUGACGCCAGUUGUAUAUGAGCCAUUGUUGAGAUACCACUCUUUCUUAUUUGGGUAGCUAACCAGCUUGAGUUAUCCUCAAGUGGGACAAUGUCUGGUGGGUAGUUUGACUGGGGCGGUCGCCUCCCAAAUAAUAACGGAGGCUUACAAAGGUUGGCUCAGAACGGUUGGAAAUCGUUCGUAGAGUAUAAAGGUAUAAGCCAGCUUAACUGCAAGACAUACAAGUCAAGCAGAGACGAAAGUCGGUCUUAGUGAUCCGGUGGUUCUGUGUGGAAGGGCCAUCGCUCAAAGGAUAAAAGGUACCCCGGGGAUAACAGGCUGAUCUCCCCCAAGAGCUCACAUCGACGGGGAGGUUUGGCACCUCGAUGUCGGCUCAUCGCAUCCUGGGGCUGGAGCAGGUCCCAAGGGUAUGGCUGUUCGCCAUUUAAAGCGGUACGCGAGCUGGGUUCAGAACGUCGUGAGACAGUUCGGUCCCUAUCUGCCGUGGGCGUAAGAAGAUUGAAGAGAUUUGACCCUAGUACGAGAGGACCGGGUUGAACAAACCACUGGUGUAGCUGUUGUUCUGCCAAGAGCAUCGCAGCGUAGCUAAGUUUGGAAAGGAUAAACGCUGAAAGCAUCUAAGCGUGAAGCCAACUCUAAGAUGAAUCUUCUCUAAGCUCUCUAGAAGACUACUAGUUUGAUAGGCUGGGUGUGUAAUGGAUGAAAGUCCUUUAGCUGACCAGUACUAAUAGAGCGUUUGGCUUAUCUUUAAUAAAGCAU
rnacentral:rRNA from 1 species